rnacentral:rRNA from 1 species
GAUGAACGCUGGCGGCGUGCUUAACACAUGCAAGUCGAACGAAGCACUCUAUUUGAUUUUCUUCGGAAAUGAAGAUUUUGUGACUGAGUGGCGGACGGGUGAGUAACGCGUGGGUAACCUGCCUCAUACAGGGGGAUAACAGUUGGAAACGACUGCUAAUACCGCAUAAGCGCACAGGGUCGCAUGGUCCGGUGUGAAAAACUCAGGUGGUAUGAGAUGGACCCGCGUCUGAUUAGCCAGUUGGCAGGGUAACGGCCUACCAAAGCGACGAUCAGUAGCCGACCUGAGAGGGUGACCGGCCACAUUGGGACUGAGACACGGCCCAAACUCCUACGGGAGGCAGCAGUGGGGAAUAUUGCACAAUGGGGGAAACCCUGAUGCAGCGACGCCGCGUGAGCGAAGAAGUAUUUCGGUAUGUAAAGCUCUAUCAGCAGGGAAGAAG